rnacentral:rRNA from 1 species
AUCUCUGUAGAGUCUGCAUAUCAAUAAGCGGAGGAAAAGAAACUAACAAGGAUUCCCUUAGUAACGGCGAGUGAGGCGGGAAGAGCUCAAAUUUGAAAUCUUCAAGGUUUUACCUUGACGAAUUGUAGUUUAAAGAAGUGUUUUCUGUUGAGGUUUCGGUAAAAGUUCUUUGGAAUAGGACAUCAUAGAGGGUGAGAAUCCCGUAUUUGACCGUUAUUUUCAGCUGUGUGAUACACUUUCAAAGAGUCGGAUUGUUUGGGAAUGCAGUCCAAAAUGGGUGGUAAAUUUCAUCUAAAGCUAAAUAUUGGCGAGAGACCGAUAGCGAACAAGUACCGUGAGGGAAAGAUGAAAAGAACUUUGAAAAGAGAGUUAAACAGUACGUGAAAUUGUCAAAAGGGAAGCGUUUGACACCAGUGUUGUUUUCUCGAAAAUCAAUUAAAAAUGGCUUGAUUUUGUGUUGUAUUGACCUUAUCAGCUUUCUUCACUUUUUUCGAGUCUUUCUUAAUGCACUUUUCGGUUAACAAGUCAACAUCAAUUUCUUUUGUUGUAAAAGAGUAUUCGGAAGGUGGCUUUCUUUUCGGAGAAAGUGUUUAUAGCCCUAUACUUCUACAAUCGGAGAGAUUGAGGUCUGCAGCGUAGAUCCUUCGGGGUUAGAUACACUUUGUGCUAAGUUGUAGCUUUUCAUAGACAACUUGUUGACUAUGUAUUAGUCAUUGCGGCUUACUCGCUUAGUGCUAUUUUACCUACGCUUAGGAUGUUGACUGAUAUGUAGUCGUA